GAGGGUGUAGCUCAAGUGGUAGAGCACAUGCUUAGCAUGCAUGAGGUCCUGGGUUCAAGCCCCUGUACCUCCU
rnacentral:tRNA from 1 species